GAGGAUCAACAUCAUCUUGAUAGAGUCCCAUAGUGUCUCAAAGUGGGGAGGUUAGGAUGCUGGUUAGUCAUGGAGUAUUUUCAGAGUGGAAGUUGAUCAGUGACGUUUUGUCAGGGAUUGAUCCAAUUUAUAAACUAGGUAAAAGAGAAAGAUUAUAAUGUAUAUUCAUUCAUUUAAUUCAUAAUCGUUCCUGUGGAUUUGAGAGUGGUUAUGUGGGCAGUCACGCAGGAACAAAGGACAAGAGGAUCGUCACUUAUGCCUUCAGGAAAUGUUUAUUGAAUGUCUACUAUGGGCCAGAAACAACAGACAGAAAUGCAGCUCUCAUUCUCGUGCGGGAGGCCCCAAACUACAAUUUCAAUAACACCAUUAAAAUCUUGGGCAACAAAGAUAAUAUGUAAUUACCUGAUAAAUUCGAAACAUAUGAUGAACAAAU